UACGUAGGGACCAAGCGUUGUUCGGAUUUACUGGGCGUAAAGCGCGCGUAGGUGGUUUGUUAAGUUGGACGUGAAAUCCCCGGGCUCAACCUGGGAACUGCAUUCAAAACUGGCAAGCUAGAGUAUGGUAGAGGGUGGUGGAAUUUCCUGUGUAGCGGUGAAAUGCGUAGAUAUAGGAAGGAACACCAGUGGCGAAGGCGACCACCUGGACUGAUACUGACACUGAGGUGCGAAAGCGUGGGGAGCAAACAGG
rnacentral:rRNA from 1 species